rnacentral:rRNA from 1 species
AUUGAACGCUGGCGGCAGGCUUAACACAUGCAAGUCGAACGAGUGGCGGACGUGUGAGUAAUGCUUGGGAUUCUAGCUUAUGGAGGGGGAUAACUACGGGAAACUGUAGCUAAUACCGCGUACCAUAGUAUGAGCCCAAGGGUGAUUAGGUAGUUGGUGAGGUAAAGACUGACCAAGCCGACGAUCUCUAGCUGGUCUGAGAGGAUGACCGGCCACACUGGGACUGCGACACGGACAGUACGCCUACGGUAGGCAGCAGUGGGGAAUAGUGCGCAAUGGGGGCAACCUGACGCAGCCAUGCCGCGUGAAUGAAGCAGGCCUUCGGGUUGUAAAGUACUUUCGGUAGCGAGGCGUUAACUACAGAAGAAGCACCGGCUAACUCCGUGCCAGCAGCCGCGGUAAUUC